rnacentral:tRNA from 1 species
GCAGAUGCAGCCAAGUGGACCAAUACAGUGGAUUGUGAAUCCACCAUGCGCGGGUUCAAUUCCCAUCGUUUGCU